AAUCUUGCUCAGAAGAGGAAUGCUCAAGAGGAGGAAUAGAAUGGAAAGAGGAAAGAAAAACUGGAGGACAUAGGUGAAAGAAGAGGCAGAUUUGAAAGGAAAAGAAGUUUCAUGAAAGACAACAUCCCUGGACACAAAAUACUUUUUGGAACUAAGAUCAUAUAGUUUAUAACCCUUUUUAGCAAAAGGAUACCCUAGGAAAACACAUGAAAUGGCCCUAGGCAUUAACUUGUCCCUUUGAGAAAUGGGGACAGUAGCAUAGGCAAGGUAGCCUAAAGCCUUUAGAUGAGAGUAAGUAGGUGCCUUACCAUGCAAGAUUUCAUAAGGGGACUUCCCAUGAAGGAGCCUGGAGGGUAUUCUGUUGAUAAGAUAAGUAGCAGUUAAUAGGCAGUCACCCCAGAAUGAAAUAGGUAAACCAGACUGGAAAAGUAAAGCCCUACAGGUUUCAAGAAAAGUUCUAUGUUUCCUCUCAACAACACCAUUCUGUUGGGGAGUAUGUGGGCAACUGGUUUGGUAUAUGAUGCCAUGUUGGUUAAAAAAGGAUGUACCAGCAAUGCUAGAUCCCAAUUCUAAAGCAUUGUCACUCCUAAUAGUUUGUACAGUAGCAUUAUACUUGGUCUUGACCAUACAGAGAAAAGAUUGAAGCAUGCAGAAAGCAUUGCUUUUAGAGCCUAACAGGUGUGUCUAGGUUGCUCUGGAAAAAAUCAUCAACUAUUGUGAGAAAAUAUCUAGAACCAGAAGAGGUGGGGGUAUGAUAAGGUCCCCUAGAAAAAUCAUCAAUUAUUAUAAGAAAAAUAUCUAGAGCCAGAAGAGGUGAGAGUGUGAUAAGGGCCCCAAGUAUCUACAUGAAUCAAUUGAAAAGGUCUAGAUGUACUAGUAGUGCUUUCAGGAAAGGGAAGCCUAGUUUGCCUGGCCAUAGGACAGGUAGAACAUUGAAAAGGCUGUUUAGAAGCAAAUGGAAAAGAUAAAACAGAAAUGUAUUUCAUGUUCACAAAAGGUAUAUGAACCAACCUUAAAUGCCAAAUGUAAUUCAUGUCUGUGGCAACAAUAUUAUUACACAUGGAACUGUUUACAUGCAAAGGCAAACUAACAGCCUGAUUACUAGAAUAGCCAGGUUUACAGGAAUUAGAAGAAGAAGAACAUACUGAAACAGAAGAACCACAAUUAGAAGAAGUUGAAGGUUGCACCCAAACAAGUUUGUACAGACCAUCCUCCUCUUUACCAAGAUCCAGAGGCAUCCUCAGAGAAGGGCUUGUAACAAGUGAAGUAAACAGGAAGUUGCAGUGAACAGUAUUAUGCAAUGCAACUGCUUCACUAACUUGUGGACAGAAAUCAAGUUAUGUUUGAAAGAAGGAACAAGUAGGACAUUAUGA
rnacentral:lncRNA from 1 species